ACUCGAGUGGCGAACGGGUGAGUAACACGUGGGUGAUCUGCCUUGCACUCUGGGAUAAGCUUGGGAAACUGGGUCUAAUACCGGAUAGGAACCGUCUUUAGUGUGGUGGUUGGAAAGUUUUUUCGGUGCAAGAUGAGCUCGCGGCCUAUCAGCUUGUUGGUGGGGUAAUGGCCUACCAAGGCGACGACGGGUAGCCGGCCUGAGAGGGUGACCGGCCACACUGGGACUGAGACACGGCCCAG
rnacentral:rRNA from 1 species